CAUGCAGCAGUGGGGUCCCUCGGCCUGGCCUGUGCCCUCUCGCAAUUUGGGACCCCUUGGAGAAUGUCAGAGAGCUGGUUUCGGCCCGAUCCUGCAGGCCAGGCCGAGGGACCUCACUGGUGCAUG
rnacentral:pre_miRNA from 1 species